rnacentral:rRNA from 1 species
CCGCGGUAUUUUGACUGUGCUAAGGUAGCAUAAUCAUUAGUUUUUUAAUUAAAAGCUAGAAUGAAGGGUUGAAUGAAAAAUUAACUGUCUCUAAUUAAUUUUAUUAAAAUUUUAUUUUUAAGUUAAAAAGCUUAAAUGUUUUUAAAAGACGAGAAGACCCUAUAGAGUUUAAUAUAUUGAAUAUUUUUAAAUAUUUAGAAUUUAUUUUUUAUAAUAAAAAUAUAUUUAAUUGGGGUGAUUAAAAAAUUUAAUUAACUUUUUUUUAUAUAAUUAUAUUAAUUAAUAAAUUUAUGAACCAAUAAUUUUGAUUAAAAGAUAAAUUACCUUAGGGAUAACAGCGUAAUUUUAUUUAAGAGUU